GGUGGAUCAUGUUGUUUAAUUCGAUGAUACGCGAAGAACCUUACCAGGUCUUGACAUCCCAUGCAAAGCUAUAGAGAUAUAGUGGAGGUUAUCAUGGAGACAGGUGGUGCAUGGUUGUCGUCAGCUCGUGUCGUGAGAUGUUGGGUUAAGUCCCGCAACGAGCGCAACCCUUAUUGCUAGUUACCAUCAUUGAGUUGGGGACUCUAGCGAGACUGCCAGUGAUAAACUGGAGAAGUGGGGAUGACGUCAAAUCAUCAUGCCCCUUAUGACCUGGGCUACAAACGUGAUACAAUGGCUGAAACAAAGGGCAGCGAAGCAGUGAUGUGGAGCGAAACCCAAAAAGCAGUCUCAGUUCGGAUUGAAGUCUGCAACUCGACUUCAUGAAGUCGGAAUCGCUAGUAAUCGCGGAUCAGAACGCCGCGGUGAAUACGUUCUCGGGGUUU
rnacentral:rRNA from 1 species